AGGUCAAGCUACAAAGGGCGCAGGGUGAAUGCCUUGGCACUAGGAGCCGAAGAAGGACGUGAUAAGCUGCGAUAAGCUUUGGGUAGACGCAAAUAGUCUGCGAUCCAAAGAUUUCCGAAUGGGGGAA
rnacentral:rRNA from 1 species